rnacentral:rRNA from 1 species
AUUGAACGCUGGCGGCAGGCCUAACACAUGCAAGUCGAGCGGUUGAGGGAGCUUGCUACCGAAGCAGCGGCGAACGGGUGAGUAAUGCAUGGGAAUCUGCCUGGUAGUGGGGGACAACGUUUCGAAAGGAACGCUAAUACCGCAUAAGCCCGCCGGUGGAAAGGGGGGGAUCUUCGGACCUCUCGCUAGCAUAUGAGCCCAUGUCAGAUUAGCUUGUUGGGGAGGUAAAGGCUGACCAAGGCGACGAACUGGAACUGGUCUGAGAGGAUGAUCAGUCACACGGGAACUGAGACACGGUCCAGACUCCUACGGGAGGCAGCAGUGGGGAAUAUUGGACAAUGGGGGCAACCCUGAUCCAGCCAUGCCGCGUGUGUGAAGAAGGCCUUCGGGUUGUAAAGCACUUUCAGUGGGGAGAAAGGUCAUUCACCUAAUACGUGAGUGAAUUGAUGUUACCCACAGAAGAAGCACCGGCUAACUCCGUGCCAGCCGCCGCAGUAA